UAUUAUACUGGUAAAUAUAAACAAUCCUAAAUUAUUAACAGAUAUAUUCUUUAAAUUUAAAGAAUUUGGCGGUGGUUUAAUCUUAUUAGAGGAACCUGUUUUUGAAUCGAUACACCACGUGAAAUCUUACUUGCUUUAUUAGUUUGUAUACCGUCAUUGUCAGAUAAUUUUUAGAGAAAUUAAUUAUUAGGAUUUAUAAAGAUAAAUUAAAUUAGAUCAAGGUGCAGCUGAUGAGUAAGUUUAAAUGGGUUACAAUAAAAUUUAUUUAAUACGGAUUUAUUAUAAGUGAAAUAUAUUAUGAAGGAGGAUUUGAUUGUAAUGUGAAUUUAACAAGUUCAAAAGAUAUAAGCUCUAAAUCAU
rnacentral:rRNA from 1 species